rnacentral:misc_RNA from 1 species
AAUCCGAGAAUUUCACCUCUAGCUGUUCAGUACUGAUGCCCCCAAGAAGCCCCGUUUAAAAUUACUCCGUGCCCUCGAACCGACAAAAGGACAAGAAAUCGUAAUUAUCAUUCCAUGCUAAAAUAUUCAAGGCUUGAAAAACCUGCUUUGAACACUCUAUUUUCCUCAAAGUGAAUGAACUGAGAGACGCUGGGCCCCGUCAGUCGUAUUCUGGAAAUAACAAGUACACGUCAGAGACGGACCAAGAAAUAACAGUGCAGAAGAAAUUCAACUACGAGCGUUUUAACUGCAGCAACUUUAAUAUACGCUAUUGGAGCUGGAAUUACC